rnacentral:rRNA from 1 species
CCUACGGGAGGCAGCAGUGGGGGAUAUUGCACAAUGGGGGAAACCCUGAUGCAGCGACGCCGCGUGAGUGAAGAAGUAUUUCGGUAUGUAAAGCUCUAUCAGCAGGGAAGAAAAUGACAGUACCUGACCAAGAAGCCCCGGCUAACUACGUGCCAGCUGCCGUGGUAAUACGUCGGGGGCAAGCGUUAUCCGGAUUUACUGGGUGUUAAGGGAGCGUAGACGGGUAUGUAAGUCUGGAGUGAAAGCCCGGGGCUGAACCCCCGGACAGCUUUGGAAACUGUGUAACUGGAGUACAGGAGAGGCAGGCGGAAUGCGUGGUGUAGCGGUGAAAUGCGUAGAUAUCAGGAAGAACACCGGCGGCGAAGGCGGCAUGCUGGACUGAAACUGACGUUGAGGCACGAAAGCGUGGGGAGCAAACAGGAUUAGAUACCCCUGUAGUC